GAGUUUGAUCCUGGCUCAGGACGAACGCUGGCGGCGCGCCUAACACAUGCAAGUCGAACGAGAGAUGAAGAGCUUGCUCUUCAAAUCGAGUGGCGAACGGGUGAGUAACGCGUGAGGAACCUGCCUCAAAGAGGGGGACAACAGUUGGAAACGACUGCUAAUACCGCAUAAGCCCACGGCUCGGCAUCGAGCAGAGGGAAAAGGAGUGAUCCGCUUUGAGAUGGCCUCGCGUCCGAUUAGCUGGUUGGUGAGGUAACGGCCCACCAAGGCGACGAUCGGUAGCCGGACUGAGAGGUUGAACGGCCACAUUGGGACUGAGACACGGCCCAGACUCCUACGGGAGGCAGCAGUAGGGAAUAUUGCACAAUGGGGGAAACCCUGAUGCAGCGACGCCGCGUGGAGGAAGAAGGUCUUCGGAUUGUAAACUCCUGUUGUUGAGGAAGAUAAUGACGGUACUCAACAAGGAAGUGACGGCUAACUACGUGCCAGCAGCCGCGGUAAAACGUAGGUCACAAGCGUUGUCCGGAAUUACUGGGUGUAAAGGGAGCGCAGGCGGGAGAACAAGUUGGAAGUGAAAUCCAUGGGCUCAACCCAUGAACUGCUUUCAAAACUGUUUUUCUUGAGUAGUGCAGAGGUAGGCGGAAUUCCCGGUGUAGCGGUGGAAUGCGUAGAUAUCGGGAGGAACACCAGUGGCGAAGGCGGCCUACUGGGCACCAACUGACGCUGAGGCUCGAAAGUGUGGGUAGCAAACAGGAUUAGAUACCCUGGUAGUCCACACCGUAAACGAUGAUUACUAGGUGUUGGAGGAUUGACCCCUUCAGUGCCGCAGUUAACACAAUAAGUAAUCCACCUGGGGUGUACGACCGCAAGGUUGAAACUCAAAGGAAUUGACGG
rnacentral:rRNA from 1 species